UACGGAGGAUGCGAGCGUUAUCCGGAUUUAUUGGGUUUAAAGGGUGCGUAGGCGGCUUUUUAAGUCAGCGGUGAAAUUUUGCAGCUUAACUGUAACAGUGCCGUUGAUACUGGGGAGCUAGGAUUUGGUUGCUGUGGGUGGAAUGUGUGGUGUAGCGGUGAAAUGCUUAGAGAUCACACAGAAUAUCGAUUGCGAAGGCAGCUCACAAAGCCAAGAUUGACGCUGAGGCACGAAAGUGUGGGGAUCAAACAGGA
rnacentral:rRNA from 1 species